GACGAACGCUGGCGGCGUGCUUAACACAUGCAAGUCGAACGGAAAGGCCCUGCUUUUGUGGGUUGCUCGAGUGGCGAACGGGUGAGUAACACGUGAGUAUCCUGCCCUUGACUUUGGGAUAACUUCAGGAAACUGGGGCUAAUACCGGAUAGGAGCUCCUGCUGCAUGGUGGGGGUUGGAAAGUUUCGGCGGUUGGGGAUGGACUCGCGGCUUAUCAGCUUGUUGGUGGGGUAGUGGCUUACCAAGGCUUUGACGGGUAGCCGGCCUGAGAGGGUGACCGGCCACAUUGGGACUGAGAUACGGCGCAGACGCCUACGGGAGGCAGCAGUGGGGAAUAUUGCACAAUGGGCGGAAGCCUGAUGCAGCAACGCCGCGUGCGGGAUGACGGCCUUCGGGUUGUAAACCGCUUUCGCCUGUGACGAAGCGUGAGUGACGGUAAUGGGUAAAGAAGCACCGGCUAACUACGUG
rnacentral:rRNA from 1 species